rnacentral:rRNA from 1 species
AGUUGCGAAGGCGGCUCUCUAGACUGUAACUGACGCUGAAGCACGAAAGCGUGGGGAGCAAACAGGAGUAGAUACCCUGGUAGUCCACGCUGUAAACGAUGAGUACUAGGUGUCGGGGGUUACCCCCUUCGGUGCCGCAGCUAACGCAUUAAGUACUCCGCCUGGGAAGUACGCUCGCAAGAGUGAAACUCAAAGGAAUUGACGGGGACCCGAACAAGUAGCGGAGCAUGUGGUUUAAUUCGAAGCAACGCGAAGAACCUUACCUAAGCUUGACAUCCCAAUGACAUCUCCUUAAUCGGAGAGUUCCCUUCGGGGACAUUGGUGACAGGUGGUGCAUGGUUGUCGUCAGCUCGUGUCGUGAGAUGUUGGGUUAAGUCCCGCAAC